rnacentral:rRNA from 1 species
UACGUAGGGUGCAAGCGUUGUCCGGAAUUAUUGGGCGUAAAGAGCUCGUAGGCGGUUUGUCGCGUCUGCUGUGAAAACUCAGGGCUUAACUCUGAGCUUGCAGUGGGUACGGGCAGACUUGAGUGCGGUAGGGGAGACUGGAAUUCCUGGUGUAGCGGUGAAAUGCGCAGAUAUCAGGAGGAACACCGGAUGGAGCGGAAGGCCAGCUCGCUGGGAACGGUC